rnacentral:rRNA from 1 species
CCCUUAGAUGUUCUGGGCUGCACGCGCGCUACACUGAAGCGUUCAACGAGUAUUCACCUUGCCCGGGAGGGUUGGGUAAUCUUUUGAAAACGCUUCGUGAUGGGGAUAGAUUAUUGCAAUUAUUAAUCUUCAACGAGGAAUUCCUAGUAAGCGCGAGUCAUCAGCUCGUGCUGAUUACGUCCCUGCCCUUUGUACACACCGCCCGUCGCACCUACCGAUUGAAUGGUCCGGUGAAUUCUUCGGACUGUGGCUUUGGAUCGGUUUCGGCCGAGACGCUGCCGUGGGAAGUUGUUUAAACCUUACCAUUUAGAGGAAGGUGAAGUCGUAACA